rnacentral:rRNA from 1 species
CAGUCGCCGCGGUAAUACGAAGGGUGCAAGCGUUAAUCGGAAUUACUGGGCGUAAAGCGUGCGUAGGCGGUGAGUUAAGUCUGCUGUGAAAUCCCCGGGCUCAACCUGGGAAUGGCAGUGGAUACUGGCUCGCUAGAGUGUGUCAGAGGAUGGUGGAAUUCCCGGUGUAGCGGUGAAAUGCGUAGAGAUGUGGAGGAACACCAGUGGCGAAGGCGACUCUCUGGUCUGUAACUGACGCUGAGGAGCGAAAGCGUGGGGAGCGAACAGGAUUAGAUACCCCGGUAGUCCCUGUCUCUUAUAC